CACGGACUAAAAGCAUAAUGGAAUCAGGUGGUUAUUGCUAAGCCUGAUUGACCCUCUGGAAAAAAAUAGGAGAAAGCUGAGAGUAAUUAAUUUCUAAUUGAAAGCUCCGAGGGCGGGGAAGGCCCAGGGCGUCUCUAGCAGCACGCAAAGAGGUUCUCUGCUCCAGCAGCCGAGGGAGGACCAGACGCUGGACUUAAAGUUGCUCCCAGGAAGGUUAACUGUCCAGCAAAAGGCCGCUAAGCCGAGAUUCCAAAUGAAUUAGCUGGGACUAUUCCAGUGUAAUAUAUACAAUGACAGAGAGGAUGCAACGUAUGCAGGUUUUUGUAUACAAAACUGAGCACCAUUCCCAGCUCAGCAUCAGCACCAGUGUCUGCAUUUCAGUAAAUGAGGUUAGUUCUUACCCAGCUACAUCCCCCCCUGAGCGCCCUGCCCUCUCCAUUUGGGUUGCCACUGUAUCCAUUUCCUAGAAUGGCUUCUGAUGAAGGUUCAUAGUAAAUAUUCGUGAGUGAAUGAACUUCUUAACAGCUUGAAAGUUCUCUAAAAGUUAAACAUUUUAUCACAUGUAAAAUGAUCCCAACAGUUUAUUAUCCAAAAAUGCCAGACCAAACUAAGGUAAAACUCAAACAAAUUACAUUUAUUUUUCCUUUACAUACAUAUUGCACAGCCUGAACAUCACAUUGCCUUCAGAGAAAAGUGCUUUUAUGCCUUUAUAUUUUACUAUUUACCGCACAGGCAUUAAGCAUUCUUAUUAAAAUGAUGAGACAAUUUGCCGGUAAACAUU